AUACAUUUAUUGCAAAAAAAUAGGUUUAAUUAAUUAGUAUUGUUUAUCUUUUACUUAGAUUGAAAUCUUAUUUAUAUUGUUUUUGAAUUAUAAUUUUUUGGAAAUUAAUAUAUGUAUUAUUGAUCAUUAUUCAAAUAUUUAUGCGCUAUUUAUGUAAUACUCCCUCUGUUCUAAAGUGAUAGACCAUCUUUUAUUUUUGGUGUUUCAAAUUAUAAGCCAUCUUCUAUAUUAGAUAAAUAAUUUAAAGACUAAGUUCUAUGUAUGCCUAAUAAAUAUGUAAAGUUAGCCUCAAUAUAAAAUUAUUAUUGAUUAAACCAAAUAGUAUGAGCUUGAAUAGACUGAGAAGUAACAUCAAAUGUAAGGUUGUUCUUUUUGAAAAAUGCAUGGUUUAUAGUUGUUGAACCAGCAACAGCAAAGUUUACACCAUUACUCGGAUUGUCUUUGAGGUCACAGUAUGGAGCUGAGGCAGAUCUAGUGCUUCCAGUGUCAUAUCCAUAAGGACCAUAACCAGGAACACAUGAACACUUGACGAAUUUUGAUUUUCUGGAUGCGAGGCUUUGAUGGAUUUUUCUUUUAUCAGGAUUUUAGCUCUAAGUCUCAUUUAAAGAAUUUUAUUACUGGUUGUUUUGGCAAUUAUGGAAUGUAUAUGCCGUAUUCACAAUUUUACUCUUUAUAUCUAGUCAUUACUUAAGCUACUAUUUUAACUUGGUAAUAUUCUUAGGAGCUGUACUGAAUUGUUGAAUUGGACUAUUAAUAUGAGUGUCCUGAACGAUUUUUUGCAUUCAUGUGCUUUUGGUUGAAUUAAUUUGAAUUGGAUAUGUAGGGCAGCUUCUAUACCAAGAAGUAGGGGCAGAUCAUGUCUUCAAAUGAAACUGGCUUACAAUCACUUGGCACCUUUAUGUCUGUUGUUGCUCCAAUGGAUGGAUUGUUCAUGUAGCUCUUCUAGUUUCGAGUUAUUUAAACCUUUAUUCAGAUGUUGCAGGAACACAAGAUCUGAAUCUUGCCCAUUUUGCUGGAGAACUCUGAAUAGAGUAAACUCAAGUGGCUCAUUAUAGAAAAGUAAAUAUUACAUGAAAAUUGACCUACUGAUCCAAGGGCAUGCUUCCUGUUCCUGUUGUACAUGGCUUCAUGCUUAACAGAGUGUUUCUUUACACAAGUGAUAACCAAUGGCUAUGAUUAAAUCUAUCAGAUGAAGAAGAGUAAUAUCUUUAUGUAUAAUUUAUCUCAAAUGAUAUUUGUGUGCUCACUUUACAACUGGUGAAGUUGACAUAUAUACCUUUCGUACAAGUAUAGUGUAUUUUGCUGGUGCAGAUAGCCAAUUUAUUACCAGUCUUUUCCUAUUCAUUGGUUUCAUCGGCUUGUUUAUGUUUGUAGUUAUUACUUUUUAGAAUUAUAUCAUCAUAAUAUGUUUUAUAAACUAAUUAUUAUGAUAUAGCUCGUGACAUAGGAUUGAACAAAUAGUUGAUUGCUUACUUUUGAUUCAGUUUUGAAAACUUUAGUUAAGAUUGUUGGAAAACUUGCAAAGUAUGAGCUUCACCUGCCAACUUUGCCUACUUUCUUUUGAUUUCUAAGACUUUCACUAUGUUAUAUGGCCCAUUAUUCACAGCAAAUACUGUAUAUUAUUCUGAAUUAUGUGUAUAUGAAUUGUUGGUUAUGUGUGGAACCUUCAAGAUAGGAUCAGCUACCGUUACUGCAACAGAUCAAAUAUUGGGUAAAGGACUGGAAAUGGUCUUGCAAUCUUGACGAUUUUUUGUCUGGUCUCGGGAUUCAUAAAUUUUUAAGUUAAUUCACCCGUUUGAUGCAUUGAUUCUUUUUGACUGCAAAUUUUACAUUUAAUGUUAAGGAUUUCAUUUUAAAAUAUCAGUAGGCAGUAGCAAAUUGCACUAAUGUUUUCUUAAAGUCCCUAGUCAUUUGUACCUUUGCCUAUCUUUUCUAAGUUCUUUUAAUGUCCUCAAUCAGGUUUAGAUAUGACUCGGAGCUUUUAGUAACAGGCUGAGCCCUGCCAAGCUUUUGACCUGUUCACAAAUAUCUGAACUCUCAUCUUUCUUUUCUGUGAUUUGUUUAAUCAGAUACGUGACCAGCCUGAACUAGCUAAAGGUGCCGCAAAUGCUUUAUAUGAUUAUAUCAGCUCUAUGAAGUUGUAACUCGUGAUCUUCUGUCAUCUGAUCUAAGAGGGCAGCUUGAUACAUGGAAUAUUUAGCCAGGACGAGAAAUGAUAGGAGACGUUUUCUACAAUAGAAUGGCCAAGAGAUCCACAAAUUGCAAUAUUUUUUAGGUCUUGCUUUUUUGUCUCAGCUUCUUGUGGCUUUUGUAUAUAAAUAGGCAUCUCAAUUUGUUGGCGCAGAAAGAGCAGGUGAAACGGUUGCAUCUCUUCUUAUUGUAAAGGACACUGUAUCCAAUAUUCCGAAGAAUCUUGAAGCUAGAAUAAGAUUGCAGUGUUUUGCAAAUUCAGUGUUUAUGAAUAUGCCUCUAGCAAAACCAUUUCUAAAAUCAUACCUAAUUAUCUUUACCCCAUCCUACAGUGAGACCGUACUUUAUGCUGCUCUGAGUUGCGAGUUGAAAAUGAAGAUAGGAUAUCAACUCUUAUCUUCUUUAACUACUCCUUCUAUUCAUAUCACCAUCAUCACCACAGUUUUUUAAUUAGCUCUCCUCCGUAAGACUAGUAACACUAAGAAUUUGCUUUAUCAGUUCUCUAUUUUGUCUCCCUUCCCCAAGUUCAAUUGUCUCCUCACGGUUAAAUCAUCUUCUGGAUGGAGGUAAUUUUGUUUUUAGUUUUUAGAAUUUGAUUUCAUGUAAUGAUUUUGAUGCUACAGUCUUAAUUUCAAUUGCUGAUCGUUGGAAGAAAAAUUAAAUUAAGUGGAAAUGCUGAAAUGAUAAGUUUUGCUAUGCAAAUUCAAUUGCUGAAUUGAAGACCGUGAGGUUUAGAGUAAAAAGAUGAUUUCUAUUUAUCGUAGUGCAUGAACAAAGUGUAUGUUGACUUCAAUUCACUGCAAAUUUAGUCGACUUUGGGUUUCUUUAUGUGUAUAAUUUCAGGGAAAUAAAUGCCAAGUUUUUUGGACAUGCUAUGUUCUACUUCUACUGGCCUUUUUUAGCAGGAUUGAUGGCUUUGCAAAUGAUGCUCAACUCAGCUCUAGACCUCCAAACUCUACAAAUACCUGUCCAUGGGACAGAGGUCUUGCAUAGUUGCAUGGAAAAUAUCUUGCCUUGACACUUUAGUUUCAACUUUUCUGAUAGAAAAUACACUGUGUUUGUGUUUUAAUUUUUGGCCUUGUAAAAAUUAGUGGUUAGGUUAUGCAUUCCUGGGGUUAGAUUCCACCAUGGGGUCUGUUUGUUUUGACUUAAGAACUUCAAUUUGAUGUUGCGGUGUUAGAUGGUAGUCUACCAUGCACCGUCCUUUUAAUUGUCUUGAGAAUCAUGCAAUGAGUAGGAUAAGUGUGUCGUG